UCGAGCGGUAACAGAUCUAGCUUGCUAGAUGCUGACGAGCGGCGGACGGGUGAGUAAUGCAUAGGAAUCUGCCCGGUAGUGGGGGAUAACCUGGGGAAACCCAGGCUAAUACCGCAUACGUCCUACGGGAGAAAGGGGGCUUCGGCUCCCGCUAUUGGAUGAGCCUAUGUCGGAUUAGCUAGUUGGUGAGGUAAAGGCUCACCAAGGCAACGAUCCGUAGCUGGUCUGAGAGGAUGAUCAGCCACAUCGGGACUGAGACACGGCCCGAACUCCUACGGGAGGCAGCAGUGGGGAAUAUUGGACAAUGGGGGCAACCCUGAUCCAGCCAUGCCGCGUGUGUGAAGAAGGCCCUCGGGUUGUAAAGCACUUUCAGCGAGGAAGAACGCCUAGCGGUUAAUACCCGUUAGGAAAGACAUCACUCGCAGAAGAAGCACCGGCUAACUCCGUGCCAGCAGCCGCGGUAAUACGGAGGGUGCAAGCGUUAAUCGGAAUUACUGGGCGUAAAGCGCGCGUAGGUGGCUUGAUAAGCCGGUUGUGAAAGCCCCGGGCUCAACCUGGGAACGGCAUCCGGAACUGUCAGGCUAGAGUGCAGGAGAGGAAGGUAGAAUUCCCGGUGUAGCGGUGAAAUGCGUAGAGAUCGGGAGGAAUACCAGUGGCGAAGGCGGCCUUCUGGACUGACACUGACACUGAGGUGCGAAAGCGUGGGUAGCAAACAGGAUUAGAUACCCUGGUAGUCCACGCCGUAAACGAUGUCGACCAGCCGUUGGGUGCCUAGAGCACUUUGUGGCGAAGUUAACGCG
rnacentral:rRNA from 1 species